UUCUGUAAGCCGUUGAAGGUGUCCUGUGAGGGGUGCUGGAGGUAUCAGAAGUGCGAAUGCUGACAUAAGUAACGAUAAAGCGGGUGAAAAGCCCGCUCGCCGGAAGACCAAGGGUUCCUGUCCAACGUUAAUCGGGGCAGGGUGAGUCGACCCCUAAGGCGAGGCCGAAAGGCGUAGUCGAUGGGAAACGGGUUAAUAUUCCCGUACUUGGUGUUACUGCGAAGGGGGGACGGAGAAGGCUAUGUUGGCCGGGCGACGGUUGUCCCGGUUUAAGCGUGUAGGUGUGUGUUCCAGGUAAAUCCGGUUCACUUUAACACUGAGGCGUGAUGACGAGGCACCACGGUGCUGAAGCAACAAAUGCCCUGCUUCCAGGAAAAGCCUCUAAGCAUCAGGUAACAUCAAAUCGUACCCCAAACCGACACAGGUGGUCAGGUAGAGAAUACCAAGGCGCUUGAGAGAACUCGGGUGAAGGAACUAGGCAAAAUGGUGCCGUAACUU
rnacentral:rRNA from 1 species